UCCCCUGUAGCUCAGCGGCAGAGCGUCGGAUUGUUAAUCCGCAGGUCCCUGGUUCGAUCCCAGGUGGGGGAGC
rnacentral:tRNA from 1 species